UGCAAUGAUACUCUGUUUUAAUUGGUAAGUUGUUUAUCAUAUAGCAGUUACAAUUCCUUUAGAACUGAUAUUUACUCUUAAGUAUUGUUUUACAGCUACUAUUCACUGUCAGGUGUGUGGGGACUAUAAUAAAGAUAUUCCUUGUGAUACACGUAGUAUUUACAUUGGGCCCACCGGCUCCUGUUCAGGCAACAACAAUUACUGUAUGACGGACAAAGUGCAUAGCCAUUCCAACACAAAGGUCUUCAAAAGGUGCGUGAACGAGACUGUAUACCAGAACCAGUGGUUAUCUCAGAUCUCCGACCAUGACCACUGUACUAAGUAUGGUCAUGUGCCAGUCAGCAGAGAUUAUACACGUGUCACUUCUGCUGUACCUCUAACCAAUGUAAUCAGGGCUUACAGCCCCAAUCAUCGACUCUGUAUUCCAAAUCCUGAUUGGUUGUUUGAUAUGGAAUUUACUUAAGUCAACUCAGUAAACAUUGUUGAAAUUCCAUUUUUAAUUUUUAUUAGUAAAUAAUUUAACAAUCACAAUCAUUACUAUAGCAUGGGUAAACAUGAGUGGUUUUUUAUGUACCAGUCAUAUCUAAUAAAUUGCAGGAAAAAAAAUGUCUCAAAAUAUACAAUUAACACAUCACACAUAUACCCAGAGAGAGAGUAUGAGAGAGAGAGAGAGAGAGAGAGAGAGUUUUUCACGGGUAUUUUCGUUAAUUAUGAA